GGGGAAGUAGCACAGCCUGGUCUAGUGCAUCCGACUGAUAAUCGGAAGAUCGAGGGUUCAAAUCCCUCCUUCCCCA
rnacentral:tRNA from 1 species